AGGGUUUGAUUAUGGCUCAGAACGAACGCUGGCGGCAGGCCUAACACAUGCAAGUCGAGCGCUACCUUCGGGGUGAGCGGCGGACGGGUGAGUAACGCGUGGGAAUAUGCCCUUCUCUAAGGAAUAGCCUCUGGAAACGGAGAGUAAUACCUUAUACGCCCUUUGGGGGAAAGAUUUAUCGGAGAAGGAUUAGCCCGCGUUAGAUUAGGUAGUUGGUGGGGUAAUGGCCUACCAAGCCUACGAUCUAUAGCUGGUUUGAGAGGAUGAUCAGCCACACUGGGACUGAGACACGGCCCAGACUCCUACGGGAGGCAGCAGUAGGGAAUCUUAGACAAUGGGGGCAACCCUGAUCUAGCCAUGCCGCGUGUGUGAUGAAGGCCCUAGGGUCGUAAAGCACUUUCGCCAGAGAUGAUAAUGACAGUAUCUGGUAAAGAAACCCCGGCUAACUCCGUGCCAGCCGCCGCGGUAAUACA
rnacentral:rRNA from 1 species